rnacentral:lncRNA from 1 species
AGGCCUGAAUUUCUUUGAGUGCAUUGAGAAGAGAGACGCAAUAUGAAUGAUUUCUACACCACUGAACACAGUUGUCUUUCUGACCUCAUCUCUUCCCCUGGACUCCAUGUUCCCGAAAGAAGUUAGCUCCUACAGGUGUCACCUGGGAAUACUUUCACAUCCUGAGUAUAAACAGGAGGUUAUUUGAAAUGCAUGGCCCUGGAAAAGAUACAGCAGUAGAAGCUACAACAGCAGCAGCUGCAGCAAACCCCCUGGCUUCCCUGCCCCUGAAAAGAAGGAGGAUCACCCUACUCUUCUCCUGGGACUCACUCUGAAUGCAGUAACAAUCUAUCAAGAGGUGGACAACACUCCAUAGCUGCUCUACGACUUUCCCUGGUCACUUCUUUCAAAGGUGACAUUUCUGGUGGGCGUCUGAAGGGGCAAGGCAUCUAUAAACUCAGGAGUCCAAAGAAUCCUGGACCCAACAACCUCAUCCUCACCAAUGCCAUCCAGAGCUCCCUGAGGCUUCUCCACACCCUCAGGCAUCUCUCAUGCACACAUCCAGGAAAAGAAGCUGGAAAUCCAGCCAGAAGGGCUGUCGGCAACACAAAAAGCUGCUGUUCUACACAGGCCAUACCUGGCGCUCCCAUUUCCUGCUGCAACUGCCCUGCUUCACACUACCCAUAGGUUUCACCUCAGCUUGGAGCCUGUGUUGCAGUGGCUACAAAAGCUGGAGGAGGCAGAAAGUGGGUAUUAGAUCCACCUGGGACUGCACACCCAGCUGAUGGAUGCACACACCCUCUCUCGGGUCUGAGGAUAUAGCAUAUCAUCUCCUGGAGACCACCCCUGGAGUUGUCUGACUGUGUUGAAAGGGGAAUCUGUUGAAAAUCAUCAUUGCUGGUGGUCAUCGGUCCUAUUUCUCCUUUUAUGGAGAAGAAGAGCUAUCAGGAAUCCUAUAUCAGUGACCUGCUGGAGCUAAACCUGGACCUGGAAGCAAGCAGCAGGAACUCCCUGGGUAAUGAGGACAAUAAGAGCAGCACACAGCUUCUCCUCUACUGCCUCUCAUUCUGCUCCAAAAGCCAUGGCAGCUCCCACAUGGCAGGCAUCAAGCCUAACUCCCAGCAGGGAGAAUGUAAGAUGUUUGUGGAUGAGCCCACAGGGACCUCGAGGUUCUGUGGGAGGACAUCUAGUGGUUCCUGGAGCAGCUGCAACAGCCAGGACACAUGGAACUACAGUGGAGCAGUCACCCAGAGACCUUCGCAGAACUGUGGGUCAUGCUAAUCAGAAUGAGGGUCCAGAGGUCACAUCCCAGGUUGGGGAGGCAGAGGACAACCACAUAGGUGACUGGUUUGUCUGCCUAAUCAUCUAGAAAGCUCAUGACUAGAUCACACAGUGACACCUGAGGCUGCACACUUGUGGAGCUGCUGGUUUUCAAGAAGUUAACUCCUCUCAAUGGAAUGAAGUCCCUAAGCUUCCUCUCCCUGUAUUGUCCAGCAUCACAUCUCUGGAGAUCAGUGGCACUAUGGGACCGCCACAGAUAGGAUCCAUCCCAGGACCUGUGAUGGAGUUGUCUUUAGCUCAGGGAUAUGAGAGAUGGUCAUCAGCUGGAUGUUAUGGCUCACUGAGGGCAGCAAGCUUCCUGGAACUUGGCACCCUGGCUCAUUCCACUAUGGAAUGGAUUAAACGAGUGUAGACC